GCCGGGUGUGGUGGCAUGCAUCUGUAAUCCCAGCUACUCAGGAGGCUGAGGCAGAAGAAUCGCUUGAACCCAGGAGGCAGAGGUUGCAGUGAGUCGAGAUCACACCACUGCACUCCAGCCUGGGUGACAGAGCGAGACUCUGUCUCAA
ensembl:misc_RNA Metazoa_SRP Metazoan signal recognition particle RNA